CCUACGGGUGGCAGCAGUGGGGGAUAUUGCACAAUGGGGGGAACCCUGAUGCAGCGACGCCGCGUGGGUGAAGGAGUGCUUCGGCAUGUAAAGCCCUAUCGGCAGGGAAGAAGCAAGACGGUACCUGACUAAGAAGCCCCGGCUAACUACGUGCCAGCAGCCGCGGUAAUACGUAGGGGGCGAGCGUUAUCCGGAUUCACUGGGUGUAAAGGGAGCGUAGACGGCCAAGCAAGCCAGGGGUGAAAGUCCGGGGCCCAACCCCGGGACUGCCCUUGGAACUGCAUGGCUAGAGUGCGGGAGGGGCAGGCGGAAUUCCUGGUGUAGCGGUGAAAUGCGUAGAUAUCAGGAGGAACACCGGCGGCGAAGGCGGCCUGCUGGACCGCGACUGACGUUGAGGCUCGAAAGCGUGGGGAGCGAACAGGAUUAGAUACCCCAGUAGUC
rnacentral:rRNA from 1 species